rnacentral:rRNA from 1 species
UACAGAGGUCUCAAGCGUUGUUCGGAUUCAUUGGGCGUAAAGGGUGCGUAGGCGGCGCGGUAAGUCGGGUGUGAAAUCUUGGAGCUUAACUCCGAAACUGCAUUCGAUACUGCCGUGCUUGAGGACUGGAGAGGAGACUGGAAUUUACGGUGUAGCGGUGAAAUGCGUAGAUAUCGUAAGGAAGACCAGUGGCGAAGGCGACAUCCUGGACCGGUAUUGACGCUGAGGCGCGGAAAGCCAGGGGAGCAAACGGG